AUGCACAGGGAGGCAGCUCCAGAGGCAAGGGAGGCUGGGGUAACCUCACCCUGCUCUAGCAAACACCGCCAGGUAUUGGAGCUUACCCUCGGAAAAAAGGCACAGGAUCCCACAGUGUCAGUGAUGCUGGUGACAGUGGGGGCACUGUGUCAGAGACCCCCAAACAUCUCCAACUCAAAACCGCUGGACUUGCAGCAGCUCCAGCUGUUAGACAGCAGGAUGGGAAACAGGAAGAAGCCACCCAAGUUAAAAACACAAUCAAUUAGUGGACAGCCUACACAUUUUAAGGCUUCAUACCCCAACCCCAAGGGGUUCUACUGGGUCCAUUGUUUGCAGCUCUGCCUGCAGCCUUGGUGAAUUAUUUCAUACUGUGUCACCCUAACAGCCACAUCAUCAGUGACCCAUGUAAUUGUAACCUCAGACUCCUUUCUCCACAUGCAGAUAAAGAAGCUCUGCAGAGCUUCAGUCCCCUGAAUAAGACAACAGACUUGAAUGAAGUGACAGAAGAGAUCAGAAGACCUCAACAGUCAUCUUUGUUUUUCCCAGACCCACUGGGUACUCACAGCAUCCAGCCUCGGUACAGCAGAAGUGUCCUGGCAGCAGUCCAGGGACUGCCACAGAGCCCCGAUGCUUUCAGAGGGCACCUUCUCCAGUCCAUGUGGCAGAGCAAGGGGUUGCACAGUGAUGUCUGCCUGAAACCUGCUCUUGAGCCCGAUUUCUACAUCCCUGCAUAAUCCUCAUUCCCCUCCUGAGCUCCAGCCCACCGAAAGCAUCAGGCCUUUUGUCUGCACCCAUGGAGAAAGUUGCAGCUUCUUGCACUCGUGGCUUUUUCUUCUAUCUGCUCUGAUUUGUGGACAGUAAAUUCCCUGGAACACGAGCCCCAAGCUGGGUGACCAGACCCUGCACGCUAUACGAUGUUUAUACACACGCCUUCGAACAGACUAUACGUACAUGUUCAAAAUUGCUCAGGAAAUGAGCCGCAAAAUGUGUAAACGACAGCACAUUAAUAAUCUUUUU
rnacentral:lncRNA from 1 species